GCUAAAACAGCAGGACCCCAAGGAUAAUUUCAACUCAGCUACUACUGAAGCACCCCGAUGAGGCUCUACUCCUCAGCUACAACAGAAGGACCCAGAGGAAAUUGUACUCCUCAGCUACAACUGCAGGACCCCGAGGCACAGGAAACUUCACCUGACCGCAGCACACUGACUGCCACAGAAGAAACCACAGCCGGGUUGUCCCUGCACUCACCCCACUCUAAAGUUCAGCACCGAAGAGAGAUGUAGGUGGGAGUAACAAAAGACAAAAAAAGACAAAGGACAGAAAGUCAAAUGUCAUCAAAUGUACUCACCAACUAUUUUCUUUCGGGUCCAGACAAAAGCCCCCAAUUGAUUGCGAGAGGUCCCGG